rnacentral:rRNA from 1 species
GUGGGGAAUAUUGGACAAUGGGCGAAAGCCUGAUCCAGCCAUGCCGCGUGUGUGAAGAAGGUCUUCGGAUUGUAAAGCACUUUAAGUUGGGAGGAAGGGCAGUAAGCUAAUACCUUGCUGUUUUGACGUUACCGACAGAAUAAGCACCGGCUAACUCUGUGCCAG